UACGGAGGGUGCAAGCGUUAAUCGGAAUUACUGGGCGUAAAGCGUGCGUAGGCGGUUCGUUAAGUCUGUUGUGAAAGCCCCGGGCUCAACCUGGGAAUGGCAAUGGAUACUGGCGAGCUAGAGUGUGUCAGAGGAUGGUGGAAUUCCCGGUGUAGCGGUGAAAUGCGGUAGAGAUCGGGAGGAACAUCAGUGGCGAAGGCGGCCAU
rnacentral:rRNA from 1 species